GAUGAACGCUGGCGGCGUGCCUAACACAUGCAAGUCGAGCGAAGCGCCUUACUUGAUUUCUUCGGGAUGAAAGUAUUGUGACUGAGCGGCGGACGGGUGAGUAACGCGUGGAUAACCUGCCUCAUACAGGGGGAUAACAGUUAGAAAUGACUGCUAAUACCGCAUAACAUUUGAGGGUGGCAUCACUCUUGAAUCAAAGGAGCAAUCCGCUGUAAGAUGGCUUCGCGUCCGAUUAGACAGUUGGCGGGGUAACGGCCCACCAAAUCUACGAUCGGUAGCCGGACUGAGAGGUUGAACGGCCACAUUGGGACUGAGACACGGCCCAG
rnacentral:rRNA from 1 species